GCACGCCCCUCCCCCGCCUUCCUGCUCCGACUCGCGCGCGCCUGGCGGCGACCGCCAGCCGUCGGGCAUCCGGGCCGGGAGGGGCGCCUGCCAGGCUCCAGCGCUCGCUCGGCCUUGGGGACGCGGGGCAGCGAGAGCUGGAGGGGAAGCGCGGCGGCCCAGGACGACUGCGAAAGAGAGAAGGAGGCCGCGCUGGUCACAGCCACAAAGCGCCGGCGCGCUCUCUGCCCUCUCUCUUCUCACUGCCUCGUUCCCUCGCUCUCUCUCCCUCCCUCACCUCCCUCUCUCUCACAUUCUCCCUUCUUAUCUCCUUCUCUCUCCCUUAAUCUCUUUCUCUCUCGUUCUCUCUCUCUCCCAUUCUUUUUCACUCCCUCAUUCUCUCAUUUUCUUUCAUUCUUUCUCUCUCUGUCCGCCUCCCCCCUCGCCCGCCAUUCUCUCACACACACAAGUACCCAAGAGCGUCUGGCUCCUGGGUGUCCCGGCUCCUGUCCCCCGCAAGCCUGCGCUGCUCAGAGGCCGUCGCCAGAGAAAUCCUGUCGAUUCCUCUUGGAAGAAAGCGCAGACAGAAUCAGGGAGGAAAAGGAGACAUUUGCUAUAAUUGCACAAUUUAUAGUCAAGCAGGGCCCAAAACCCACUGACCUGGGGAUUCACCCAUUUUCCUCCCCUCCCUUCAUCAAAGGGUAAUUGGAGAUUUAAAUAUGCAAAAAAAGAAAGGGCUUAUUCUGCCUCUCCUUUGCCCUCUGAUCUCCGUUUCUUCAGCUCUCUUCCAAGAGCUUCUCUGGCCAGCCCUAAGUAUCUGAGAUUACCAUCUACUUGAAUCACAGCAGGUACAAAACUAGGGACUCCGGCAGUGUCUGUUUCAGUGUAGCCAAAAGGACAACAGGUGCCAGUUGCUCAGUUUCCUCCUCUACUUGAAACACAUCAAUGGAUGCCUGCUUCCUGCUACAUGACCAAGUCCAAGCUCCCCCGCAAACACUCAAGACUCUGCUCAGCCAGACUGCCGUAUUUGCUAAGUGGCCCUGCUCUCUGUGAUGAAGACUGGGUGGAGUAAUGAACACAGGGCCUUGUUUUGCUCUGCCAUGGCUUCCCCUCUGCCUACCAGACCUUCACCAAUCCCCAAGAGCUCCUCUCCUCUCUGAGAAUCAGCCUUCUCUGGAAAGCCUUUCCUGACCUGCUCACACGAAAUAGAUCUUUUCUGCUCCUCCCAUACCUGGCAUGGCAUUGUCAUAAUUGUACUAUAUCAUAAAUAUGUGCCUCUGUGAGCCCAGAGUUUGUGCUUAACAUAUAUGCAUAUCUUUAUAUCCACUUGCCUAAUGUAAUGUCUGGCAUAUGAGAAGUGUUAUGGACUAAACUGUGUACCAUGUACCCCCAUAAUUCAUAUGUUGAAGCCCUAACCCCAAAUAUGACUAUAUUUGGAGACAGGACCUAUAGGGAGGUGAUUAAGGUUAAAUGAGGUCAUAGUGUGUGACCUAAACUCAUAGGUCUGGUGGCCUUAUAUAAAGAGGAAGAGACACCAAAUACCUCCUUUCUUGUCUCUCCCUCUCUCCUUCCCCACUGUCCCUUUCCCCACUUGCCCUUUCUCUGCCCAAACACAGAGAAGAGGCCACAUGAAGACACAAUGACAACUACAAGCCAGAAAGAGAGGCCUCACCAGAAACCAACCCUGCUGCCUUCUUGAUCUUGGACUUCCAGCCUUCAGAACUAUGGGAAAAUGAAACAUCUUGUUUAAGCCAUUCAGUCAGGGGUAUUGUUAUGGCAGCUCCAUCAGAUGAAUACGAGAAGCAUGCAUUGGAUUCUAGAUUCUAACCUUUGUAAACCCCAACUCAACAGUGAGCCCGACUUCUCCAUACAAAGUAGCCUGGACGAUCAUCUGUGAUACAAGGCCAUGUGCAGAGUGUCUCAAUGUGAGAAGUGACCACGGUCAUUUACCUCCCCCAUGAGAGAAAUGGAAACAAAGGCUCGUUACAUACUCUGGGGUAUAAAUGCCUACAGGCUCAAAGUCACAAUGCUACCUUUUGCACCAGGUACCAUAAUUUUUAAACAAAAACAAGUAAAGAGCAAAUAUUUACUUUGAAUUUAUUAAUUCAAACAAAAGACAGGAGGCCAGUACCAAUAUAUUAAAGCUGCUGUUUUGGGCUGAAUAUUUCAUAUCCCUAGGGAAUCUUAGUGGGAUUCUAAUACAGGUAAGAUCAAGUACCCAACUUGGUUUGGGACGCCUGGAGCCACUGCGGGUGGAUCCCAGGAAAUAAGACCUUGCAGGUUAUGAGCUAUGGUGAUAUUUCCGUUUGUAUCCACACCAUCCACUGCAGUGUCUGCAACAUGGCACACUGUGUGUGAUAGAUGUUUGUUGAAUGAAUAAGCCUGGUACUUCCCAGGUUACACCAGGCAACACCAGACCUUUAGCACGAGUCUGAUAUACUGUAGAUUUUACAUUCUGAAUGCAGACAGGUCUCUGGAAAAAGUCAGGGGAACUAGUGGCCUACAUAGCCUGCUGGGCUGUAUUUAAGAUUUUGUUCGGGGCUGACACAGUGUCUCAGGUGGCUUAGAGGGUCUUUACUGAUUUACUUUCAAUACAAAUACUGAUUCCCUUACAAUACAAAGGGAACACUCCUCUGAAUGGUUUCUGAGUCAUUUGGCCCAUCACUGGUGAUAGAUUCUCUGAUCUCGCAUUACUGGAAAACAUACAUAAUAAUUUCCCGUUUCACAGCAGCAACCUACAGGGUCACCCAUACACUCUGCUAUGACCUCAUCCUUUUGCUUCAACAUCUGAGGACCUCGGAAAUUCAGCCCUAAGGAAAACUGAAGAAAGCAGAAAUGAAUAUUUGGGGAUAUAAAAUGGUACAAAGCAAAUCAACUUGGAAUAAGACGUGUUGCUUUUAUAUCUUCUCCUUUCGUCAUUCUCCUCAUGCAUAAUCUUAAAAUUGUUACUUUACACCCUAACCGCCAGGCUGAAGAGCUCCAGAGAGAUGAGAAAAACUUAAUACCCUAGAGGAGGGAAAUGAGUUUUGAUAUGUACACCCUUUUGUAUCUUAAGUUUUGCACUGUGCACAUGGACAUUCGAAUUGUCAUUCCAUUCAAAAAGAAAUAAAAUAUUGAUUUUAAAAUCCUAUUUUUAAGCCAUGCCCUCUGAUUCUGGGUCAAUUAUUGAUUGCUGUGUAACACGUCACCUCAAAACUUUAGUGGCUUAAAAUAAGAAUACACGAUUUGCUCGCAAUACUGUGGGUUGGCAAUUUGGACAUACUCAGCUGGGAAAUCUUAUUUCUGCCCCAUGUGGUAUUAGCUUGGCUCCGUCACGCGUUUCCAGUCAACUGGGAGGUUGGCCAGGAGCUGGCUUGUCCUGGGUGGCCUCAAAGUCCAAAAGUUGACUGCAGCCGUCAGCUCAGGCAUCUCAGAUCCCUUUCCAUGGCCUCUCAGCGGGCUAGCUGGGACUUCCUCACAGAGCAGCCCUGUCCAGGAGGGCGAAAGAGGAAGUGGUCAGGCCCCUGGAGCUCUGGCCUUGCAGGUAUAGCAGAAUGAUAGAAUUCCGCUGCACUCUGUCAUUAAAAAUGUCACAAAGUCAGCCCAAAUCCAAGGUUUGGGGAAACAGACCCCCAUUGAUGACAGAAGCAGUAGUCAUAUUGCAACAGGGCCUGCGUGCAGUAGUAGGAGAGGAAGGAUUCUUGUGGCCAUCCUUGCAAAUAAUCUUCCUCUGAAGAACUACAGACGUGAAGAACUACAGAAUGGAGGGUAAAGUAACAGGUGCUAACAAUAGUCUCAAGGGAAAUCUUUCUGAUGAUAAGACAAAAGCACUUUGUCAUUCAACAUAAGACCCACAAGAACAGGUACUGGCCUCCUGUCCUCAAUGGACAGGUCAAAGAAAGAGUUAAUUUCUGCUUAUUUGUUUUUGGUUUAAAAAAGAAAAAGAUGGGGGCAAGGAAAAACAAAGGCUUUGGGACUCUAAUGCAAGUAAGGUUGGCUGGGUUCUAAAUCAGUGUUUUCGAUUACCUACUGCUGCAUAACAUCUUACCAUAGACUUCGUGGCUUAUAAUACCCAUAUACUGGUGCAUCUUUCGUUCUUAAUCCAGAAAUGGCAUGGCUCGGGUCUCUACUGAAGGCCUCCCAAAGCCAAAAUGAAGAUCUUGGCAGGGCUCAUCGUUCAUCUCGUCUGGAGCUCAAGGUCCUCUUCUAAGGUCAUUCAGAUUGCUGGCGGAAUUCAGUUCUUUGUGGUUAUAGGACUGAGGACCCGGUUUUUUUGCUGGCUGUCAUCUGGGAGCCACUCUCCACUGACAAAGGCUGCCCAGAAACCUCAUCCUGUGGCCUUCGCCAUCUUCCAGUCGGCAGUGUCUCAACAAAUCCUUCUAUGCUUCCAAUCUCUGACUCAACCGUCUUGGGUUCUAGACUCAGAUUUAAAGUGCUCAUGUGAUUAGAUCAGGCAUACCCAGAUCAUCUUUCUAUCUUGAUAGGCAACUGACUUGAGACCUUCCUCACACCUGCAAUCCCCAGAUUAGUGUAUGAUUGAAUAACGGGAGAUGUGUAUACACCAGGGGCCAGGAAUUGUGGAGGCUAUCUGAGAAUUCUACGAUAGAUGUAAGGAUAGGCAGACAGAGGCUCUUCAAUAUAAACAUGGAAUGUGAGAGUGGACAGAAGGUAGAAGCCUUGGAGAGGAAUCGGAUGCAGCGCUUAGCAGUAAACCAGGAACCAGGCCUAAGAAGGAAUUCUUACUGAGCAAUAACUCAGCUGCCACGGGGUUAAAUGGUUACUAAGUCUUCAUUGAACCCUGAUGACCUGAAUACUGAAAAAAACAGGGAGAGGAAAACAAAGUGAAGAAUAUGGCAUCCUAAUCCUAUCACUUAAACAGCAUAAUCCUGUGAAUACAAUAGUAUUUCCUUUAUUUUGCACGAUUUGUUUCAUAACAUUAACGCAAUGUUCCAUAACCCAGCAAGAUAAUGCUUUUCAAUAAGGAGACUUAAGAACUCAUUUGCGGAAACAUUUUGUGAAAAGCUGUGUGGUCUGCCAAGCAAAUACAGCACAUAAAGAUCUUUCCCAAAGUCAAACAACAAACCAGAGGUUGAGCUGGGAUUUGCUUUCCGCACGGCCCAUGUUGUUCUUUCAUGCGUAUGCUGCCUGCCCUGCUAAGACCCAUGAGCAUCACGUACAUUUGUAUGUUCGCAGAAAUAAACAAUACAGAUACGUCCAGUGCUCC